rnacentral:rRNA from 1 species
GAUGAACGCUGGCGGCGUGCCUAAUACAUGCAAGUCGAGCGAACGGACGAGAAGCUUGCUUCUCUGAUGUUAGCGGCGGACGGGUGAGUAACACGUGGAUAACCUACCUAUAAGACUGGGAUAACUUCGGGAAACCGGAGCUAAUACCGGAUAAUAUUUUGAACCGCAUGGUUCAAAAGUGAAAGACGGUCUUGCUGUCACUUAUAGAUGGGUCCGCGCUGCAUUAGCUAGUUGGUAAGGUAACGGCUUACCAAGGCAACGAUGCAUAGCCGACCUGAGAGGGUGAUCGGCCACACUGGAACUGAGACACGGUCCAGACUCCUACGGGAGGCAGCAGUAGGGAAUCUUCCGCAAUGGGCGAAAGCCUGACGGAGCAACGCCGCGUGAGUGAUGAAGGUCUUCGGAUCGUAAAACUCUGUUAUUAGGGAAGGACAUAUGUGUAAGUAACUGUGCACAUCUUGACGGUACCUAAUCAGAAAGCCACGGCUAACUACGUG